rnacentral:rRNA from 1 species
CCCUUAGAUGUUCUGGGCUGCACGCGCGCUACACUGAUGCAUACAACGAGUUUAACCUAGGCCGAAGGGUCCGGGUAAUCUUUGAAAUUUCAUCGUGAUGGGGAUAGAUUAUUGCAAUUAUUAAUCUUCAACGAGGAAUUCCUAGUAAGCGCGAGUCAUCAGCUCGCGUUGAUUACGUCCCUGCCCUUUGUACACACCGCCCGUCGCUCCUACCGAUUGAAUGGUCCGGUGAAAUGUUCGGACCGCGACAAGGCGGACGGUUCGCUGUCAGCUUUGCUGCGGGAAGUUCAUUAAACCUUNUNAUUUAGNGGAAGGAGAANUCGUANCA